rnacentral:rRNA from 1 species
GACGAACGCUGGCGGCGUGCUUAACACAUGCAAGUCGAACGGAAAGGCCCUGCUUUUGUGGGGUGCUCGAGUGGCGAACGGGUGAGUAACACGUGAGUAACCUGCCCUUGACUUUGGUAUAACUUCAGGAAACUGGGGCUAAUACCGGAUAGGAGCUCCUGCUGCAUGGUGGGGGUUGGAAAGUUUCGGCGGUUGGGGAUGGACUCGCGGCUUAUCAGCUUGUUGGUGGGGUAGUGGCUUACCAAGGCUUUGACGGGUAGCCGGCCUGAGAGGGUGACCGGCCACAUUGGGACUGAGAUACGGCCCAGACUCCUACGGGAGGCAGCAGUGGGGAAUAUUGCACAAGGGGCGGAAGCCUGAUGCAGCAACGCCGCGUGCGGGAUGACGGCCUUCGGGUUGUAAACCGCUUUCGCCUGUGACGAAGCGUGAGUGACGGUAAUGGGUAAAGAAGCACCGGCUAACUACGUG